rnacentral:snoRNA from 1 species
GAUAAUGAUGAUGAAAGAUGAUUCCAUAGAACAAUCCAACUCUGACCAUCAUUGAUGAUCUUACCAUCAUGCACUACCAUCUGAAUC